AAGUCGUAACAAGGUUUCCGUAGGUGAACCUGCGGAAGGAUCAUUAGCAAGAUUGCGACCCUCGCAAGAGGUUAGCAAGUAUGCCAUCCUUGUGCUAUGUAUACACCCGUGAGUGUGCUUGUACUUUUGUGCAUGCCUGUGGCCUCAGGGCCGUGAGUGUGCACAACGGAACACGGCAUCACUGUAUUUUACACCCAUUCUUAAACCUUCUUAACCUCUUUUUGCUUGGUAACAAGCAUCAAAAACAAUCGAAAACUGCCAGCAAUGGAUCACUCGGUUCUC
rnacentral:misc_RNA from 1 species